GAGUACGGCCCUUGCUUGCAAGGGUGUCAGCUAAGUGGCGCACGGGUGAGUAAUGUAUAGUUGAUCUGCCCCUUGGAGGGGGAUAGCCAUUGGAAACGAUGAUUAAUACCCCAUACUCCUAUAUGCGUAAGGUAUAUAGGGAAAUGUCUUUUCGCCAAGGGAUGAGACUAUAUGGCAUCAGGUAGUUGGUAGGGUAAUGGCCUACCAAGCCAAUGACGCCUAGCUGGUCUGAGAGGAUGAUCAGCCACACUGGUACUGAGACACGGACCAGACUCCUACGGGAGGCAGCAGUGGGGAAUAUUGCACAAUGGAGGAAACUCUGAUGCAGCAACGCCGCGUGGAGGAUGACGCAUUUCGGUGUGUAAACUCCUUUUAACUAGGAAGAUAAUGACGGUACUAGUUGAAUAAGCACCGGCUAACUCCGUGCCAGCAGCCGCGGUAAUACGGAGGGUGCAAGCGUUACUCGGAAUCACUGGGCGUAAAGCGCGCGCAGGCGGUUUGAUAAGUUGGAUGUGAAAUCCUAUGGCUCAACCAUAGAACUGCAUCCAAAACUGUCAAACUAGAGUCUGGGAGAGGAAGAUGGAAUUAGUUGUGUAGGGGUAAAAUCCGUAGAGAUAACUAGGAAUACCAAAAGCGAAGGCGAUCUUCUGGAACAGUACUGACGCUGAGGCGCGAAAGCGUG
rnacentral:rRNA from 1 species